AGAGUUUGAUCAUGGCUCAGGAUGAACGCUGGCGGCGUGCCUAAUACAUGCAAGUCGAGCGAACGGACGAGAAGCUUGCUUCUCUGAUGUUAGCGGCGGACGGGUGAGUAACACGUGGAUAACCUACCUAUAAGACUGGGAUAACUUCGGGAAACCGGAGCUAAUACCGGAUAAUAUUUUGAACCGCAUGGUUCAAAAGUGAAAGACGGUCUUGCUGUCACUUAUAGAUGGAUCCGCGCUGCAUUAGCUAGUUGGUAAGGUAAACCGGGCCUUACCCAAAGGGCAAACGAAUGCAUAGCCGACCUGAGAGGGUGAUCGGCCACACUGGAACUGAGACACGGUCCAGACUCCUACGGGAGGCAGCAGUAGGGAAUCUUCCGCAAUGGGCGAAAGCCUGACGGAGCAACGCCGCGUGAGUGAUGAAGGUCUUCGGAUCGUAAAACUCUGUUAUUAGGGAAGAACAUAUGUGUAAGUAACUGUGCACAUCUUGACGGUACCUAAUCAGAAAGCCACGGCUAACUACGUGCCAGCAGCCGCGGUAAUACGUAGGUGGCAAGCGUUAUCCGGAAUUAUUGGGCGUAAAGCGCGCGUAGGCGGUUUUUUAACGUCUGAUGUGAAAGCCCACGGCUCAACCGUGGAGGGUCAUUGGAAACUGGAAAACUUGAGUGCAGAAGAGGAAAGUGGAAUUCCAUGUGUAGCGGUGAAAUUGCGCAGAGAUAUGGAAGGAACACCAGUGGCGAAGGCGACUUUCUGGUCUGUAACUGACGCUGAUGUGCGAAAGCGUGGGGAUCAAACAGGAUUAGAUACCCUGGUAGUCCACGCCGUAAACGAUGAGUGCUAAGUGUCAGGGGGUUUCCGCCCCUUAGUGCUGCAGCUAACGCAUUAAGCACUCCGCCUGGGGAGUACGACCGCAAGGUUGAAACUCAAAGGAAUUGACGGGGGCCCGCACAAG
rnacentral:rRNA from 1 species